CCUACGGGUGGCAGCAGUGAGGAAUAUUGGUCAAUGGGCUUACGCCUGAACCAGCCAAGUCGCGUGAGGGAAGACUGCCCUAUGGGUUGUAAACCUCUUUUGUCAGGGAGCAAUUGGCGCUACGUGUAGCGUUAUCGAGAGUACCUGAAGAAAAAGCAUCGGCUAACUCCGUGCCAGCAGCCGCGGUACUACGGAGGAUGCGAGCGUUAUCCGGAUUUAUGGGGUUUAAAGGGUGCGUAGGCGGAAUGCCAAGUCAGCGGUAAAAUCGCGGGGCUCAACCUCGCUCCGCCGUUGAAACUGGCGUGCUUGAGUGGGCGAGAAGUAUGCGGAAUGCGUGGUGUAGCGGUGAAAUGCAUAGAUACCACGCAGAAAGCAGAUUGCGAAGGCAGCAUACCGGCGCCCAACUGACGCUGAAGCACGAAAGCGUGGGUAUCGAACAGGAUUAGAUACCCUAGUAGUC
rnacentral:rRNA from 1 species